rnacentral:rRNA from 1 species
CACCAGCCCCUCGAGUGGUGGGGAUGAUUAUUUGGCCUAAAGCGUCCGUAGCCGGCCGGGUAAGUUUCCCGUUAAAUCCAGCGUCUCAAGCGUUGGACUGCGGGAAAUACUGCCUGGCUAGAGAGUGGGAGAGGUCAGCGGUAUUCUGGGGGUAGGGGCGAAAUCCUUUGAUCCCCGGAGGACCACCAGUGGCGAAGGCUGCUGACUAGAACACGUCUGACGGUCAGGGACGAAAGCUGGGGUAGCGAACCGGAUUAGAUACCCGGGUAGUCCCAGCCGUAAACGAUGCAUGCUAGGUGUUGGGUUGGCCACGAGCCACCCCAGUGCCGCAGGGAAGCCGUUAAGCAUGCCGCCUGGGAAGUACGAUCGCAAGAUUGAAACUUAAAGGAAUUGGCGGGGAGCACACCAGGCGUGAAGCCUGCGGUUU